rnacentral:rRNA from 1 species
GGGUCCGGACACACUGAGGAUUGACAGAUAUACGCUCAUUGCAGUUCGCUGCAUGAGCUGAAAGAUGCUAGUUCUUUCAUGAUUAUGUGAUAGGUGGUGCAUGGCCGUUCUUAGUUCGUGGAGUGAUCUGUCUGCUUAAUUGCGUAUCAAUAAUAGAGACCUAGUAUACGCGUGGAUUUCGCGUGGUAGUGACCCCCUGUUUAACGACAGGCGUGUGUCGCACACGCGUACCUACGCACUGGUCUCAGAUAGCAACGAACGUGACCGUAUUCUAUUGUUGCAGUGAAAUGUACCUUCGGGUACGACCCACUGCUUAGUAUAUGUACGUGCUUCGGCGCGAACAAUAUACAUUAAACUAUAGAGACCGCUGUUUCUUCUUUAAACCAGAGGAAGGAUACGGCAAUAACAGGUCUGUGAUGCCCUCAGAUGUUCCGGGCUGCACACGUGCUACAAUGAUCAUUGCACUGUGCAUCUAACCCAAUGUGCGCGGACGCCGCAUGCAUGUGCCUUCGGGUACACGCAUUGCUGUUGCGACCACGCCGAACCUACUUCGAAAGUAAAAUUUCUCAGUGGGU